GGCUGAGUGGUCUAGUGGUAUGAUUCUCGCUUUGGGUGCGAGAGGUCCCGGUUCGAUCACCGGUUCAGCCC
rfam:Ascaris suum AG00009, whole genome shotgun sequence.